GGGCCCCUGUCAUGGCUGCGAAGGACAGCGGGAACCUGAAGACGGUGAGGCUGUGGCGGGACGCCGCCCUGCGCGCCAGGAAGCUGCGGAGCAACCUGCGCCAGCUCACCCUCAGCGCGGCCGGGGGCUGCCCGGGGGCGGGCGCCGAGCAGCUCGACUCCCCCGACGCCCCCCAGCUCGUGCUGCCGGCCAACAUCGGGGACAUUGAGGUGCUGAACCUGGGCAACAACGGCCUGGAGGAGGUGCCCGACGGGCUGGGCUCGGCGCUGGGCAGCCUGCGCGUCCUGGUGCUGCGCAGAAACCGCUUCGCCCGGCUGCCCCCGGCCGUGGCCGAGCUCGGCCACCACCUCACCGAGCUGGACGUGAGCCACAACCGGCUGACCACCCUGGGCGCGGAGGUGGUGAGCGCCCUGCGGGAGCUGCGCAAGCUCAACCUCAGCCACAACCAGCUGCCCGCCCUGCCCGCCCAGCUGGGGACCCUGGCCCACCUGGAGGAGCUGGAUGUCAGCUUCAACCGGCUGGCACACCUGCCCGACUCCCUCUCCUGCCUCUUGCGCCUGCGCACCCUCGACGUGGACCACAACCAGCUCACGGCUUUCCCCCGGCAGCUGCUGCAGCUGGCGGCCCUGGAGGAGCUGGACGUGUCCAGCAACCGGCUGCGGGGCCUACCUGAGGAUAUCAGUGCCCUGCGCGCCCUCAAGAUCCUCUGGCUGAGUGGGGCCGAGCUUGGCACCCUGCCCAGCGGCGUCUGCGAGCUGGCCGGCCUCGAGAGCCUCAUGCUCGACAACAACGGGCUGCACGCUCUGCCCGCCCAGUUCAGCCGCCUGCAGCGGCUCAAAAUGCUCAACCUCUCCUCCAACCUCUUCGAGGAGUUCCCUGCCGCGCUGCUGCCCCUGGCUGGGCUGGAGGAGCUCUACCUGAGCCGCAACCAGCUCACCUGCGUGCCGCCGCUCAUCUCGGGCCUGGGCCGGCUUCUCACCCUCUGGCUGGAUCAUAACCGGAUCCGCUACCUGCCCGACUCCAUUGUGGAACUGACGGGUCUGGAGGAGCUCGUGCUGCAAGGGAACCAGAUCGCCGUGCUGCCCGACAACUUCGGCCAGCUCUCCAGGGUGGGCCUGUGGAAGAUCAAGGACAACCCGCUGAUCCAGCCCCCCUACGAGGUCUGCAUGAAGGGGAUCCCCUACAUCGCAGCCUACCAGAAGGAGCUAGCGCACUCCCAGCCCGCUGUGCAGCCCCGCCUCAAGCUGCUCCUGAUGGGCCACAAGGCCGCGGGGAAGACCUUGCUCCGUCACUGUCUCACUGAGGACAGAGUGGAGGGAAACCAGGGAGGAGGGGACAAGGAAAAGAGCUGCCCCGCUGCAGCUCCUUCUGUGAGCAAAGGCAUCGAGGUGACCAGCUGGACGGCGGACGCUUCCCGGGGGCUGCGGUUCAUUGUGUAUGACUUAGCGGGCGAUGAAAGCUACGAGGUGAUCCAGCCCUUCUUCCUCUCCCCGGGAGCCCUCUACGUGCUGGUGGUGAACCUGGCCACCUAUGAGCCCCGUCGCUUUCCCGCCACCGUAGGUUCCUUCUUGCAUCGGGUCGGGGCCCGGGUUCCCCAUGCCGUGGUGUGCAUUGUGGGCACGCAUGCAGACUUGUGUGGGGAGCGGGAGCUGGAGGAGAAGUGCCUGGACAUUCACCGCCAGAUCGCCCUGCAGGAGAAGCACGACGCGGAGGGACUGAGCCGGUUGGCCCAGGUGGUGGACGAGGCCCUGACCCGGGACUUUGAGCUGCGCUCCGCCAGCCCCCACGCUGCCUACUACGGGGUUUCAGACAAGAACCUCCGGCGGCGCAAGGCCCAUUUUCAGUACCUGCUCAACCACCGGCUGCAGAUCCUGUCUCCGGUGUUGCCCGUCAGCUGCAGAGACCCUCGCCAGUUACAGCGCCUUCGGGACAAGCUGCUCUCCGUAGCUGAGCACCGGGAGAUCUUCCCCAAUUUACAUAGAGUACUGCCUCGAUCCUGGCAGGUGCUGGAGGAGCUGCAUUUCCAGCCGCCCCAGGCACAGAGGCUGUGGCUCAGCUGGUGGGACUCGGCCCGCCUGGGCCUGCAGGCUGGUCUGACCGAGGACCGGCUACAGAGUGCUCUUUCGUACCUGCACGAGAGCGGCAAGCUGCUCUACUUCGAGGACAGCCCAGCCCUCAAGGAGCACGUCUUCCACAACCUCACCCGCCUCAUCGACAUCCUCAAUGUCUUUUUCCAGAGGGAUCCUUCCCUGCUGCUGCACAAGCUGCUCCUGGGCACCAGCGGCGAGGGCGAGGGUGAGGGCGACAGCUCCCCGCUGAUGGUGACACCCACCCCAGGCCAGGAACUUUUGCGGGCCACCCAGCUCCAUCAUUACGUGGAGGGCUUUCUGCUUCACGGGCUCUUGCCAGCCCAUGUCAUCCGGUUGCUGCUGAAGCCUCACGUCCAGGCCCAGCAGGACUUGCAGCUGCUGUUGGAGCUGCUGGAGAAGAUGGGACUCUGUUACUGCCUCAAUAAGCCCAAAGGCAAGCCUCUGAAUGGAUCCACGGCUUGGUACAAGUUCCCGUGCUAUGUGCAGAACGAGGUACCCCAUGCAGAGGCCUGGAUUAACGGGACCAACCUGGCCGGGCAGUCUUUCGUGGCCGAGCAGUUGCAGAUUGAAUACAGUUUCCCCUUCACCUUUCCACCCGGCCUGUUCGCGCGCUACAGCGUCCAGAUCAACAGCCACGUGGUGCACAGAUCGGACGGGAAACUUCAGAUCUUUGCGUAUCGGGGGAAGGUUCCGGUGGUGGUCAGUUACAGACCGGCCAAGGGGCUCCUGCAGCCAGACACUCUGUCCAUUGCCAGCCACGCGUCGUUACCAAACAUAUGGACGGCAUGGCAAGCCAUAACCCCCUUGGUAGAGGAACUGAAUGUCCUGCUUCAGGAAUGGCCUGGACUGCACUAUACCGUGCACAUUCUCUGUUCUAAGUGCCUUAAGAGAGGGUCGCCCAAUCCACACGCUUUCCCAGGGGAGCUUCUGAGUCAGCCCAGACCGGAAGGAGUGGCAGAGAUCAUUUGCCCUAAGAACGGCAGCGAGCGAGUGAAUGUUGCCUUGGUUUACCCACCUACACCGACUGUGAUCAGCCCCUGUUCUAAGUAUCUCCAUACUUUCUUGGAAAAUUAAGUGGAAAAGAUAGUGCUUCUCUCCCCUUUGUCAUCAUUUUUACUGUAUCCAAUCUGUGACUUUAAGAGCGCCAGUUUUUAAGGGAAGAACGUUGGUGAAAAGCACAGAAACCAGUGACUUCUAUGGCUGUGGAAUUUCCGUGAAGAAAAGACAGCAUCCGAACUCACCUGGACCAUCUUUCACACCUGGCAGACCCUCCACGCUCCUGCGCGCGUGUCCCAUGAACUCCAGCCAGUCGACGCGUGGGGUGCUUGCAGAGGAGGGCACAGACCUGGCCUGUAGAGGGAGCGGGGAGGGCAGGGGGGAGGCUAGGGGAGAACAUGGAGCAAAUGUUUUACAACCUGAACCUCAGAACUGUGAUCCUCCGAGGAGAGCGCUACUUGAAGAAAAGAAAAAAAAAAGUCGAAUGGCUUCUCAGGGAUUUUGUUUUCUGUCCACAUAAAAGCCAUAGUUCGUUUAGGUGGCCGUAUUUUGAGCACUCAGAUUUCAGUUGUGUUAAAUGUGAAAGAGGGAUCGACUGACCGUUCAUUGCUGUUCCGUGACUAGUGUAAAAUAUGUAUAUGUUUAUCUUUAUUUUUAUAAUAUGCAAAUACAUUUAAAUUUAUACAGUU